rnacentral:misc_RNA from 1 species
UCCGGUUUGGCACCGGCAGUCUCCCUAGAGUUCCCGGCAUCACCCGCUGGCAACUAAGGACAGGGGUUGCGCUCGUUGCGCCACUUAAGGCAACACCUCACGACACGAGCUGACGACAGCCAUGCAGCACCUGAACCGGCAGUCCCCGAAGGGAAAAUCCUAUUUCUAGGACGGUCCGCCGUUGUCUAGCCCAGGUAAGGUUCUUCGCGUUGCGUCGAAUUAAACCACAUGCUCCGCUGCUUGUGCGGGCCCCCGUCAAUUCCUUUGAGUUUUAGCCUUGCGGCCGUACUCCCCAGGCGGAAUGCUUAAAGCGUUAGCUGCGCCACUGAGCAGCAAGCUGCCCAACGGCUGGCAUUCAUCGUUUACGGCGUGGACUAC